CCUACGGGUGGCAGCAGUGGGGAAUAUUGGGCAAUGGGCGCAAGCCUGACCCAGCAACGCCGCGUGAAUGAAGAAGGCUUUCGGGUUGUAAACUUCUUUUGUCAGGGACGAAGCAAGUGACGUUAACUGACUAAUAAGCCACCGUUAACUACGUGCCAGCAGCCGCCGUAAUACGUAGGUGGCACGCGUUGUCCGGAUUUACUGGGUGCAAAGGUUGCGCAGGCGGCUCUGCAAGUCAGGCGUGAAAGCUAGGGGCUCAACCCCUAAAUUGCGCUUGAAACUGUGGAGCUUGAGUGAAGUAGAGAGGGGCAGAAGUCCAGGUGUAGCGGUGAAAUGCGUAGAGAUGGGGAGGAAUACCGAUGGCGAAGGCAGCCCCCUGGGAUUUAACUGACGCUCAGGUACGAAAGCAUGGGGAGCAAACAGGAUUAGAUACCCGAGUAGUC
rnacentral:rRNA from 1 species